GGGUCAAACAACUGAACUAACUACACAGUUAUUCCUUAAAGGCUACUAUAGCAUGACAUCUUGGUGAGGUCACAGGGUCAAACAUCUGAACUAACUUCACAGUUAUUCCUUAAAGGCUACAAUAGCAUGACAUCUUGGUGAGGUCACAGGGUCAAACAACUGAACUAACUUCACAGUUAUUCCUUAAAGGCUACAAUAGCAUGACAUCUUGGUGAGGUCACAGGGUCAAACAUCUGGACUAACUUCACAGUUAUUCCUUAAAGGCUACAAUAGCAUGACAUCUUGGUGAGGUCACAGGGUCAAACAUCUGAACUAACUACACAGUUAUUCCUUAAAGGCUUCUAUAGCAUGACAUCUUGGUGAGGUCACAGGGUCAAACAUCUGAACUAACUUCACAGUUAUUCCUUAAAGGCUACAAUAGAAUGACAUCAUGGUGAGGUCACAGGGUCAAACAACUGAAUUAACUUCACAGUUAUUCCUUAAAGGCUACAAUAGCAUGACAUCUUGGUGAGGUCACAGGGUCAAACAACUGAACUAACUUCACAGUUAUUCCUUAAAGGCUACAAUAGCAUGACAUCUUGGUGAGAUGACAGGGUCAAACAUCUGAACUAACUUCACAUCAGUUGUACAAUCCUGU